UCAAACAUAAAGUCAAAGGAC
rnacentral:miRNA from 1 species